GACGAACGCUGGCGGCGUGGAUUAGGCAUGCAAGUCGAACGGUAUCAUCCUUUCGGGGGUGAGAGAGUGGCGAACUGGUGAGUAACACGUAGGUUAUCUACCCUCAAGACGGGGACAACCCAGGGAAACUUGGGCUAAUACCGGAUGUGAGCAACUUUUAGUUGUUUGAAAGGUGGCGUAAGCUGUCGCUUGGGGAUGAGCCUGCGUCCUAUUAGUUAGUUGGUGAGGUAACGGCUCACCUAGGCAAUGAUAGGUAGGCGGCCUUAACGGGUGGUCGCCCACACUGGGAUUGAGAUACGGCCCAGACUCCUACGGGAGGCAGCAGUCGAGAAUAGUCUACAAUGGUCGGAAGACUGAUAGUGCGACGCCGCGUGAACGAUGAAUCCCUUCGGGGUGUAAAGUUCUUUUAUAUGUGAGCAGUGCUUCUUAUAUUAACAGUAUGGGGAGAGAGAUAUUAGCAUAUGAAUAAGCAACGGCUAACUCCGUGCCCAGCAGCCGCGGUAAUA
rnacentral:rRNA from 1 species